GAGGGAAGAAAAGCCAGCAUGAGAAGGCAGGUGAAAUCUAUUUGAUUUCUGGUGAAACUGGAUUUUCUGUGCAAGAUCCCUGUCCUACCCUGACAACGACACAUGAUGAGAUGAGGAGAAGACAAUGAGGAAAAGGUGAUCAUUAUACCUGGAACCUUGAAGAAGGCAAGGGAGAGAGAGACUCAAGCAUGCACUAUCAAGGUGGGCAGUUUCCAAGGGC
rnacentral:lncRNA from 1 species